CCCGCGCCGCCGCCCCCGCUCGCCUUGGGCCAGGCUGGCUCAGCACGGAUGAUGGCACCCCAGCGAAGACAUCUGCAACCCCCACUGAGAGCUGCAGUGCAGCACUGCGUGUAUUUGACAAGCUGAGUUUGACACUCAGUGUGCAGAGUGUCAGUUUGUCAAAUACCCCAAGUGAGGCAUUUGCUGAGCAACGCGGCGGCACACUGAGGGGACCGGUUCCUUCCUCCCACUCGGGCAGGGGCCUUCCUGUCCAUAUUCUGCUCCUCUCCAAAAACCCAGCAAGGUAUUGAACAACACAUCCCAUCGUUACUGAACACUUGACUCUGAUCCUGUGCUGUCAGACUUCCCUUCCACCCCAGUUUUGGAAGUGCUUAUCACGGUGGUACUCCUAAUGGCAAAUCUGUACAGAAGUGGUGCUGGCACAGUUUCUGGGCAUUGUAAAGGCAGAUAAUUGGGCCCUGGCUCCUUAUUCUUUGCAGCCAAAGACAAUGCUGUUCUCUUCCACAGCAUUAACUAGCCAGCUGUUAAUCAAUAAUCUUGCUCAGUUAACAAAGAUUCUGGCAACUGUAAUCACAACAUCAUGGGUAAGGGCAGCAUUAUCCAUAAUACAGAAUCUCUUCUUUGGACAUGAAGGAAUCUUUUUUUUUUUAUUUGAAGUUGGAGGACAAACUAAUAAGGCUGCUGAUUAACUUCCCUCUAUCCCAUUAGCCAGUGAAAAAUGCAUGUUUGCUCAAUCUGUUUUUGAAUUAGGCCAUGGAGUCCAUCGCUUCUUGAAGCCUUGUUGUUUGGAGAAGACUCCUUGUUUUGGGACAGUUAUUCCUAGUCAGCACUUGCAGCAAGGUUACUUAUUGCUUUUCUUGCCUUUCUGCUAUUUAGUUAAAGUAAUUCCCUCUAAAUCAUCCCACUUGAAGAUCUAAUGCUUGGUAAGCAUUUUUAGUCACUGACUUGUAGCACAUCAGAUCUGCAACUUGAGGUAUCUCAGGGUGGGGGGGAAUGACAGAGGGAGAGUGCCCAACCCAGUUUGAUAAAUCAAACUCUCUGAAAGCAUUUAGCAUUGAAAACUCAGAAACUAAGAAAAAAUCCCAAGACCCUACUGACUUGUUUUAGGACAGUACCACCAGCAAAUUUUGCAAUGUUUGACAAUAUUGAUAAACUUUAAUACUAAGCUUUUGGGCUUUUUGUUGCAACUAUUUCUUGCUAAAUAUUUUGAAGAAGUUGGAGUUUGUACAAAGCUGGGACUAAUGAAUGUAUAACAUUGCCUAAGCAAA